UUAUUGAUAUUUAAGGAAAACAACGGAGGGACCCCCAUCAAUCUUCAUUUACCUAGCCAAUUUGAAAGAUUGAGUCACAAAUAAGAUUGCUUAGUAUUUUGAUUUAGUCCAUACCAAUUAGAUCAAUCAUGUGAUGACAAUUAGAUGAGACCUAAACUCAAAUCUCUCCAUAAAUAUUAAGUCCAAUGAUCUUCCAUCGUUGUAGAUGUGCGGGCGUGCUACCGACGUUGAUUAUUCUCGGCUGACCAUAGUGGUUCAGUUACAUCGAAAAUAUGCAACCACUCUAUUAGCAAAG
rnacentral:lncRNA from 1 species